rnacentral:rRNA from 1 species
CCCAUCCUCCAAGGCUAAAUACUCCUGACUGACCGAUAGUGAACCAGUACCGUGAGGGAAAGGCGAAAAGAACCCCGGCGAGGGGAGUGAAAAAGAACCUGAAACCGUGUACGUACAAGCAGUGGGAGCACGCUUAGGCGUGUGACUGCGUACCUUUUGUAUAAUGGGUCAGCGACUUAUAUUCUGUAGCAAGGUUAACCGAAUAGGGGAGCCGAAGGGAAACCGAGUCUUAACUGGGCGUUAAGUUGCAGGGUAUAGACCCGAAACCCGGUGAUCUAGCCAUGGGCAGGUUGAAGGUUGGGUAACACUAACUGGAGGACCGAACCGACUAAUGUUGAAAAAUUAGCGGAUGACUUGUGGCUGGGGGUGAAAGGCCAAUCAAACCGGGAGAUAGCUGGUUCUCCCCGAAAGCUAUUUAGGUAGCGCCUCGUGAAUUCAUCUCCGGGGGUAGAGCACUGUUUCGGCAAGGGGGUCAUCCCGACUUACCAACCCGAUGCAAACUGCGAAUACCGGAGAAUGUUAUCACGGGAGACACACGGCGGGUGCUAACGUCCGUCGUGAAGAGGGAAACAACCCAGACCGCCAGCUAAGGUCCCAAAGUCAUGGUUAAGUGGGAAACGAUGUGGGAAGGCCCAGACAGCCAGGAUGUUGGCUUAGAAGCAGCCAUCAUUUAAAGAAAGCGUAAUAGCUCACUGGUCGAGUCGGCCUGCGCGGAAGAUGUAACGGGGCUAAACCAUGCACCGAAGCUGCGGCAGCGACGCUUAUGCGUUGUUGGGUAGGGGAGCGUUCUGUAAGCCUGCGAAGGUGUGCUGUGAGGCAUGCUGGAGGUAUCAGAAGUGCGAAUGCUGACAUAAGUAACGAUAAAGCGGGUGAAAAGCCCGCUCGCCGGAAGACCAAGGGUUCCUGUCCAACGUUAAUCGGGGCAGGGUGAGUCGACCCCUAAGGCGAGGCCGAAAGGCGUAGUCGAUGGGAAACAG